rnacentral:lncRNA from 1 species
CCUCCGUACUUUCUGAGACAUCCAUGCUGUGGGGUACAAGGCAGAGUGAGGAAGCCUGAGAAGACCGUCUGUGCAGCCAUGAUGAGCCCUCCAGGACACACCGCUCUGGGAACAAAGGACACCAGAACCCAACUUUAAGAAUGAAGCCAUUCAUGUUCAGGGCCCCACUUAGAAAUUUACUAGAGGUGAGACUGUCUUCAGAGCCAAACCACAGCAAGCUUUUCCCAAGCUCCUGCCACCUGCCAGGCUGGGCCCCAAGAGCCUCCUUGCACGCU